rnacentral:rRNA from 1 species
ACUCCUACGGGAGGCAGCAGUGGGGAAUAUUGCACAAUGGGGGAAACCCUGAUGCAGCCAUGCCGCGUGUGUGAAGAAGGCCUUCGGGUUGUAAAGCACUUUCAGUAGGGAGGAAGGUAGUGGUAGUUAAACACCUGCAUUAUUUUGAACGUAUCCUACAGAAGAAAGCACCGGCUAACGUCCUGCCAGCAGCCGCGGUAAUACGGAGGGUGCGAGCGUUAAUCGGAAUUACUGGGCGUAAAGCGCAUGCAGGCGGCCUGUUAAGUCAGAUGUGAAAGCCCGGGGCUUAACCUCGGAAUUGCAUUUGAAACUGGCAAGGCUAGAGUCUUGUAGAGGGGGGUAGAAUUUCAGGUGUAGCGGUGAAAUGCGUAGAGAUCUGAAGGAAUACCAGUGGCGAAGGCGGCCCCCCUGGACAAAGACUGACGCUCAGAUGCGAAAGCGUGGGGAGCAAACAGGAUUAGAUACCCUGGUUGCGAGU